GACUGCGUCAUCACCGUCACCAUAGACUUUAUCUUCGGCGACUCCAGGGUGGUGUUCCAAAACUGCCAGAUGAUCGUGAGAAUACCAGGUCCCAGACAAACUGCAUGGUGAUUGCACAGGGGAAACAGUUCGAUAAAUCAAGAGGCGGCUUCGUGCUCCACAACUGCACUAUAUCCGGUGAUAAGGACUACAUUUCGGUGAAGAACAUAAACAAGGCAUACCUCAACAGACCAUGGAAGCCACUUGCGACUGUCAUCAUAAUCCAGUCCAAUAUCGCUUACAUCAUCACACCGGAAGGUUACAUUCCGAUGCAUCCCGGCAUGGGAG